UUUGGGGGUGAAUUUGAAAUUGUCUAGACGAAAAUAACGCCGUCUCUUAGCCCUAUUAUCGGUGUGCAUCAUUCGCACCCAUCAAAAUAUCAUCAGAGAACAGACGAGAAAUCCCGCCCUCGCACCGUCCGCCGUCGCCCACCCCCUUUUCGUUAUUUAUCAGUUUAUUCUUCGAGUCGUUUUAAGAUGGAUGAAGAUCAAGAGAUGGAGAAAUUCGGGAUGGAGAAUGAUUUUGAAGGUGGUAGAUGGGAAGGUGGCGAGUUCUACUACCGAAAGCGUAAAGAGAAACGGACUCAAACCAAAGACGAUGUACUCUAUGGAGUUUUUGCUGAUUCUGAGGAUGACGACGAUGAUGAGUAUUCCAGUAGAAAGAGAAGGAAAGACCGUGAUUUCUCGAAGAAACAGGACCUCACUAAACCGGUGAAUUUCGUUUCUACUGGAACUUUGCCUAAUCAGGAUAAGGUUGAUGAAAUUCCAAAAGAAAAAGAUGAGCAGGAUAGUUAUAAUAGUGAAGAUAGGCCUGGGUUAGGGUUAGGUUUAGGUCUUGGUUUUGGGUCUGCUAGUACGUCUGGGUCUGGUUUAGGUUUUAAUUAUGGUCGUGGUGCUGCGAAUGGUUUUGAUAGGAACGAUGAUGAUGAUGAUAAUGAUAAUGGUGAUGAUAAAUUUUUGCCUACUGAGUUUGGGAAGAAGAUUAAGGAGGGAGCAAUGAGGAGGGAGAAGGAGAGAUUGGAGAAGAAGAAGAAGGUGCAGAAGCAGGGGCUGGGUCUAGUUCAUGAAGGAUCUGUGGAUGUUGGGAAAUUUGAGAGUCAUACGAAGGGGAUCGGAAUGAAGCUGCUGGAGAAGAUGGGUUAUAAAGGGGGUGGUCUUGGGAAGAAUGAGCAGGGUAUUUUAAAUCCUAUUGAGGCAAAAUUGAGGGCUAAGAAUUCUGGUCUUGGAUUUAAUGAAUCGAAGGAGACUAAAACACCGUUGCCGGCUUUGCAGACGGAGAAGACAUUGCCGGGAGGAGCCAUGCAGCCUACAGUUGGAAGAACGAAAGAACGCUCCUGGUUAAAGCAGAAGAAGAAAAAGAAAGAAGAGGAAGUGUAUGUAACUGCUGAGGAGUUGUUGGCGAGCAAGCAAGAAGAAGAUUCAGAGGUUGUUCAGAAGAUUUAUGAUAUGAGGGGGCCACAGGUACGAGUGUAUACAAAUUUGUCUGAUUUGAAUGCUGAGGAGAAAGCAAAGGAAAAGGAUGUCCCAAUGCCUGAACUUCAGCAUAACAUAGCACUAAUAGUUCGGUUGGCUGAGGCUGACAUCCAAGAGAUUGAUAGAGAUUUGAGGAAAGAGAGGGAUAUAGCACUUAGUUUGAAAAAUGAAAAAGAAAAAUUGGUAGCUGAGACAGCAUUUCAAAAGAAACAGCUAAAUAAUUCUGAGAAUAUAAUGAGUGUGCUGGACCGAGUUGGAGAAGAGAACACCUUAGGAACAUUAACGUUGGAUUCCCUUGCUCAAUGCUUUAGAGACAUGCUCAAAAGAUAUCCUGAGGACUAUAAGUUGUAUAACUUGUCAUGCAUUGCAUGCUCAUAUGCUCUACCUUUGUUUAUCAGAGUGUUCCAAGGAUGGGACCCUCUUCGAAACCCAUCACAUGGUUUGGAGUUGGUAUCACAGUGGAAGACAUUGCUUCAAGGAGAUGAUUGUUUUGAUAUAUGGGACACAUCAUCACCUUUUAUUCACUUGGCUUCAGAGGUUGUAUUGCCAGCUGUUAGAAUAUCUGGUAUCAAUACCUGGCAUGCACGGGAUCCGGAGCCGAUGCUACGGUUUCUGGAGUCAUGGGAAAAAUUGCUACCUUCUUCAGUUCUUGCUACUAUAUUAGACAACAUAGUCAUGCCGAAACUAUUGAGUGCAGUAAGUACUUGGGAACCACAUCUUGAGACCAUUCCUAUCCACACAUGGGUGCAUCCGUGGCUGCCUCUGCUAGGGCACAAGCUGGAGGGUAUCUACCAGACGAUUCGUUUCAAAUUGAGUACUGUUCUUGGUGCAUGGCACCCAAGUGAUGGUUCUGCAUAUGCUAUAUUGUCCCCUUGGAAGACUGUAUUUGAUUCUGAUAGUUGGCAACAACUUAUGCACCGUUUUAUUGUACCAAAGCUGAAGAGUGUCUUGCAAGAUGAAUUCCAAGUGAACCCGGCAAGUCAGAACCUCGAUCAAUUUUAUUGGGUAAUGAAUUGGGCUUCGGCCAUUCCAAUUCAUAUGAUGGUUGACACGAUGGAGACCUUCUUUGCCAAGUGGCUUGCAGUUUUGUAUCAUUGGUUGUGCUCAAAUCCUAACUUUGAUGAAGUUACAAAAUGGUAUUUGGGAUGGAAAGAACUUUUUCCAAAAGAACUCUUGGCUAAUGAAAGUAUUCGAUACAAGCUCAAUUGCGGUCUUGAUAUGAUGAACCAGGCUGUUGAAGGUAUGAAAGUGGUACAACCUGGUUUGAAGGAGAAGAUAAGCUAUAUUAGGGUAAGUGAGCAGAGGAAAUUUGAGACUCAGCAGAAAGCAGCAGCCUCUGCUCAACAACAGGCUGCUGCAAGCUUGGGCUCUGCUGUCAAUUCAGAUGGUGUGAAUGAAAUGAGUGUGAAGGAACUCAUUGAGGCCUAUGCCCGGGAUCAUGGUUUACUGUUCAAACUUAAACCUGGUAGAAUGCACAACGGUCAUCAAAUAUAUGGGUUUGGCAAUGUCAGCAUAAUAAUCGACUCUCUAAAUCAAAAAGUCUACGCCCAAAAUGAGGAAACUUGGUCUUUAGAAACUCUGGAACGAUUGCUAGAGUUACAUAAUAAAUCCCUCAGUAAAAGACGCUGAGUUCUGAGUUGGCUAUGUGAAGUAACAUCUCAGUCCUCAGCAAGAGCGGCGACGAGACUUCUCUGACUCUUUCUCCAGUGGCGGCGACUCUUCUCCAGUGGAGGUGGCUCUUCUCCGGUGUCUGUGCGCAAUCCUUUCACACUUCUUCUCCAUUUCAAAAUUGCAGCUUUGCCACUUCGAAAUCGCAGCUAACUUACUCUCGUAUCGGAUUUUAGAGCAUUGUUCGAAUCCUUGUGGUCUAAUUUAUUUGCAAGUAUCAAAGAAUGAGGUUCAUUCAGAUUUGAAGAAGAUUGUGACAUAUACAUCGAGAUUUGAAGAAGAUUGUGAUAUACACACUUUCUAAGAUCAAGUAAUGAAGAUUGUGACAUAUACAUCCAGAUUUGAAGAAGAUUGUGACAUAUACAUCCAGAUUUGAAGAAGAUUGUGACAUACACAAGUAAUGAAGUUAGAUUUGAUGAAAGAUAUGUAUAUAGAUGAUGUUUAUGUUUUUUCCUAACUUAACAACUAUGGUUCUAUUAUGUUGAUGUGAUGGGGGAUGAAGACACUAAUACAUUACGUGCACUAAUAUCCUUUUGAAAUAGAUAUUAUAUUUUUUUG